CCCUUAGAUGUCCGGGGCCACACGCGCGCUACACUGAAGGAAUCAGCGUGGCUUUCUCCCUGACCCGAAAGGGUUGGGAAACCCGUUGAAUCUCCUUCGUGAUAGGGAUUGGGGCUUGAAAUUGUUCCCCAUGAACGAGGAAUUCCCAGUAAGCGCGAGUCAUAAGCUCGCGUUGAUUACGUCCCUGCCCUUUGUACACACCGCCCGUCGCUACUACCGAUUGAACGGUUUAGUGAGGGCCUCGGAUUGGUCUCGGCCCGCUCUUUACCGGGCGGCGCUGUUGGUCGAGAAGACGCUCGAACUUGAUCGUUUAGAGGAAGUAAAAGUCGUAACA
rnacentral:rRNA from 1 species